UGCCAAUUUGCCAGCAUUGCAAAGUAUCAUUGGCACUGUGGCACACUACCACACCACACAUAUAUGCGAGAACCGAUCCAUCUUGGGCGGCUAAACCAUUUGCAACAGCUGAGGUGCAUGUUCUCCUAUGUCAAACAGUGUGUGACGACUGAGGCACCUGCGAUCUCCGCCACCGCCGGCGGCGGCUAGAUGUGGCACGGCUCUCAGCAGGGGCGCCGCACCGACACAGCAACCGCCGUUCGUCCACGCUGGCUGUCUCCUAGAGCGCCGUCCCGAGUCACUGCACUACGCGCGCCAUCCCGAUCCACUCCACCAGUAUCCACGUGAACAAGAUGUUCUCCGUGGCGUCAGUGGUAUCAAGCCUUGCAACCUCCGUUCUUGGAAAGGCUGCAUCCUUUGGUACUGACUGGGCUGUUAAUGAGAUCAAGUCAGCCUGGAACGCCCAGGAAGAGCUUCGCAAGUUGGAAAACUCAUUGAAAUUUAUCUGUGGUGUUCUUCGAGAUGCUGAGGACAGGGAGUCAGCUUCUCAUGUCCUUCACGAGUGGCUGGACUGUUUGAAGGAUGCGGUCUAUGACAUAGAUGAUCUUUUGGACGAUGCGUCCACCGAAGCUCUCAUGUUACAUGUUCAUAAGGGUUUAUCUCGCAUUGAGUCUAUGAGCCUUCUCGUUACUGGUCCAUUCAAAUUGAGUCACAAAAUAGAACAAGUUCGUAAAAAGCUUGAUGAGAUAGCAAAGGACAGAGGGCAAUUUGGUUUAAAUGAGCAACCAAUUAUUGACAGACGGAUGUUCAGGAGUAGCAACAGGGAAACUCAUUCCUUCAUCACCGAAUCAGAUAUUAUUGGAAGAGCUGAAGCCAAAAACAAGAUAAUUGAAAAGAUAUUGACAGCUAAAGACUCAAAACCCUUGUCUGUUCUUCCGAUUGUCGGUUUAGGAGGAAUUGGAAAAACUGCUUUAGCAAAAUGGAUUUACAAUGAUGUUCAGGUUACCCAGAAUUUUGAGAUGAAAUUAUGGGUUUGUGUAUCUGAUGUGUUCAAUUUAAAAAAGAUCUUGGAUGAUAUAAUACAAUCAGGUACAGGUGAAAGCAACAUGAAGCUAAAUCUAGAGAUGCUGCAAAGGAAGUUGUGUGCACUUUUGAAGGAAAGAAGAUAUUUUCUAGUCCUAGAUGACCUCUGGAAUGAUAAACUUGCAGACUGGGAAGAGCUGAGAAGGCUGCUAUCUAGUGGUGGAAGGGGAAGUGUCAUUAUAGUUACCACACGCAGUUCAAAUGUUGCAUCAAUGGUGAAGACUAUGGAGCCAUAUGACGUGGCAAAACUGCCAGAUGAUAAGUGCAUGCAAAUAUUUACCCGGUACGCAUUCAGAGGUGAGGAAGAGGACAGGAUGGACCAACAGUUAGUAAGUAUUGGGGAGUCCAUUGUGAAAAAGUGUUGUGGUGUUCCUUUGGCAGCCAGGACGCUGGGUUCCCUAUUGUCAAGAUGUCGAGAUGUUGAAGAAUGGCGACACGUUCUGGAGGACAAUUUGUGGGAUAUGGAGCAGAACACCGAUGAUAUCUUGCCAGCAUUGAAAUUGAGUUAUGAUGCACUUCCACCUCAUCUACGACCAUGCUUUUCUUGCUUGUCAGUUUUUCCAAAAGGCCACACAAUUUACCAGGACAUUUUGAUUAUGUUUUGGAUGGCUCUGGGAUUGAUUCGCCCAUCUAAUAAACGCACUCAGCUACAAACUGGUGAGAAGUAUUUUAAAGAACUACUUGGGAGAUCUUUAUUCCAGGAUCAGUGCGUCCUUUCUGAUAACAGGGUUUUUUACUGUAAAAUGCAUGAUCUUAUUCAUGACCUUGCAACCUUGGUAUCCCAAAAGGAGCAUGCCAUUGUAAGUUCUGAAAAGUUAACAGUCUCUGAGAGUGUCAGGCACCUAGUUUGGGACCGCGAGAACUUCUCCGUAGCACUCAAUUUUCCUGAGGAGCUGAUCAAGCUUUGGUACCGUGAGCAAAUCCUUCAUUGAUGACCUUUUCUCAAGUUUUACACUCCUCCGUGCCGUGACAUUUUUUGGAGUUGACUUUGAAGAACUGCCGAGUUCCGUUGGAGAUUUGAAGCACCUGAGGUACCUGCUUAUACAGUUCAAUGGCAAGCUCAGAUUAUUGCCGGAGCCUUUAUGCAAGCUGGUGAAUUUAGAAAUGCUUCAUCUCUAUGGCUGCAGCCAGUUAGAGGAGCUCCCAAAUGAAGCUCGCAACCUUGUUAGCCUUGUAUACUUGAACCUCACAUCAAAGCAGAAGUAUCUAAGGCUGUGGGGUUGGCCCUCUCUCGCGAUUCUGAAAAUGAGCUAUUGUUAUGAACUGGUAUCAUUGGAGGAGGGUUUUGACAGCUUGAGAGCCCUCCGAGAGCUACUCAUCUUCGAUUGUCCGAAGCUGGCCGCUCUCCCCUCCAGCAUAUGGCAGCUCUCCACACUUGUUGCAUUGAGUAUUAGUGGCUGUGGAGAGCUAGAUUUGAUGGUGCCGGCUGGGGAAGCCUCGGGAGGACUACAUAGUCUUCAGAACCUGCAUCUUGGUCGUCUUCCAAAGUUGGCACACCUUCCAGAGAGCUUUAAGUCUGCUUCUUCCUCUCUUCAAUAUAUUCAGAUUGUCAGUUGCGAAAACCUGGAGAGGCUGCCAAGCUACAUCCAAGACUUCCGUUCUCUUAAGAGAGCCGUGAUUAACGGCUGCCCUGAGCUGAGCAAAAGAUGCGCGGCCGAAUCCGGAGAGGAUUACCCUUUUGUAAGCCAUAUUCCCGAGGUGUAUAUGGAAGGGACUCUGCUAUCGAAAGCAGGCCCAUCUGCUGGAGAAUCCUCUUCACUCGAAUUAGAGCUAGCUUUUGGAGAAGCAAAGCCAUGGCCUGGGCUCCUAGCCCCCUCGGGUAGGGCCGGUAGGUGUGUGUCCGAGUUCAAUUAGAGUCUAAUACGUAUAUAAGGUAGCAGGAUUUGGAAAUAAGAAGGUUUUGUCCCGUAGAAGGUUUUCCCUGUUAUUUCCAAAUCUGUACGAGUCGGUUUCUCUUUCUUUUUUAAGUUGGUUUAGUCUCCAAGUUGUAUGGAGAUACAAUUACUCCCUCCGUCCCGUGAUACUCCCUCUGUCCUAAAAUAAGCCACAUUCCCGAGGUGUACAUCGAUGGGACUCUACUGUCAAAAGCAAAGCUCACCUGGUGAAGAAUGUUCUUCGCUCGAUUGAGUUCCUCGGCUACCUAUUUAUUUUAUCCGUUAGACUUACACGUGGAUUCUUUGCUGCAUUUGUAUUGUACCAUCCAUAUUAUGAUUUUUCUUUGCGUGUGAUAUUGCCCUUUUCAGGCAAAAAACUGUAAUGUUUGUGAUGAAUAAUGCCGCUUUUGCUGCUGCU